AAAUGAAUCAAAACUUUCAACAACGGAUCUCUUGGUUCUGGCAUCGAUGAAGAACGCAGCGAAAUGCGAUAAGUAAUGUGAAUUGCAGAAUUCAGUGAAUCAUCGAAUCUUUGAACGCACAUUGCGCCCGCCAGUAUUCUGGCGGGCAUGCCUGUCCGAGCGUCAUUU
rnacentral:rRNA from 9 species